rnacentral:rRNA from 1 species
UACGAAGGGUGCAAACGUUGCUCGGAAUCAUUGGGCGUAAAGCGCACGUAGGCGGCUUCGCAAGUCGGAUGUGAAAUCCCUCGGCUCAACCGAGGACGUGCACCCGAAACUGCGGAGCUUGAGUACUGAAGAGGAUCGCGGAAUUCCCGGUGUAGAGGUGAAAUUCGUAGAUAUCGGGAGGAACACCGGUGGCGAAGGCGGGUCUCUGGGCCGAUACUGACGGCUGAGGAGCGAAAGCGUGGGGAGCGAACAGG